AGGUAGACACUGAAUUCAUAGAGCAGACAAAGAAAGCAUGGGAGGUUAGCUCUGAGUUCCAAGAAUAAAGUAAAGCCAAGUGCCUUCAUGAAGCCCCCAUAAUGUUUGUAAUAAAGCUCACCACUGGGCUUUCUGGCCUCAGUUUCUUCAUCUGCAGAAUCCAUGGGCUAGCCGUGAUUAUACUUAAGGCUAAUACUUUACCCUGAAUAUUCAGGUUCUAGGUAUAUGCUUCAUUAAAACUAUCUAGGGCCUCAGAAGUUUAGAAUUCUGAUUUCGCAAAAUUCUGAUAAAAAAUAAAAUGUGUGAACAUGAGGGCAGCAAUCUUGGUAAUAAGGAAAAGCCUGGGGUAGGGCUGGAAACCUCGUAGGCACAGAGGCCCUCCAAGAGGUCCCUUCCCAUUGAUCGGGCCGGGCUAGGGCAGUCACAGCGUGCUGGUCUGGUGGAGUUUAUGCAGCAACACAAACAAGAAACGCAGCAGCAGGGACAGAAAAUCCCCAUGAAGUCUGCCUUCUGCAACUAACUCUCGGUCCACCCCUCUCCACAUCUUGGUCUUCCCUUCCCAACCCCAUUCACAUCCUUCCAGGGGAGAACGUGCAAGAAAUUUCUCCUUUCCUGCAAGCAAAGGAAUCCAGUAGUGCCACCUUGGUCAGAAUGGCCCUUUGUUCUGCUGUUUAAUGACUAAUUAUGAUGCUAUGAGAGGCAUACACAACUCUGGCAGAGCCAGGCCCUCCUGCUCCAGCAGGGCUGAGCGGCUGGAAGUGUGUAAUCUUCGGAAAGCUGUGACUGCGACCUGGAGUUGCAUUGCUGACUGUGUGCAACUGCCGCAAGGGGUCAAAAGUGCUUGGUUUGCACAACAUCUCCCCGGCAUUCUUACACGUGUGGUUAUGGAAUCAGGGUGCAGGGAAGGGUCAUGGAGCAGAGGGAAUUGCAUGUGCUCGAUCUUUUUCACAUUGGAGCUGCUUUCUGAAACCCGGCACGGGGAAGGUGAGGGUGCUGGAUAGUUUGGGGGGGCCACAGAGUCCUGUGGGUGUUAAAUCUCGGUCCCCCUCUGGGGACUUGUCCUUGCAGGGUGCUCAUCCAGGCCUUAAAAGUUGGCAGCAUCCCCCAGGAACUACCCUGUGAACAAAUCCAGGCUUUCGGAAGCACGUGAUUCUGCAGAAAUGCCACAUUCUCUUCCACAUGGGCUGUGGGCUCUGAGUCCCCCUUUGCUUCCUCGGCCUAUGUACCUGCUGAAGAAGACAGUUGUGUCGUGUACAUGCAACCUAAGGAGGUAACCUUUUACCCAGCCUGAGACUUCAGAGGGUAUUCAUAUUGGGGACCAGCAGCCCGUGAUGUUUGUCCCCCAGAGAGGGGGAGAGAGCUGCUGCCUGCAGAGUGGCUGCUCCUGCUUUGCACGGCCCCUGGCUUCUGCAUCCCUCCAUCCUCCAGCUGGGCACAGAGGUUGCCAAAAGGGCCAGUAGGAGGAGAAGGCUUCAUGGAGGACGGGGGCAAGAGCGGGCCGACCAUGCUGGCUUCCUCGCCUUGUGUCUGGCUGACUGCACAGGCCUGAGGAGGUAACCAACAGCAGAAACAGCUCUGGACAAAUGAGCAAAGGAAGACUCGACUGAGUUUCCCCAGAAUGGAGAGGAGCUGAGGAAGCUCCAGGGCCCACAGCGGAAGCUGGUGGACCAUUUCACUAGGACCCUGGGAGCAAAUCAGUCUGACUUGUGUUUGGCCCCUGAAUCCCCCUGCUCAAGGCUCAGAGUCCUGGAGAAUUGAGGGCAACCCCCACAUUGCAUGCCAUGGAUGGUGGCUUCCCCAGGGGAGUCGGGGUGCUAGGACUAGAGCAUGCCUCCUACAAAUGUUGACUUCCCCAGAAAAAUACCAGCUCUCUUAAGUAAGGGUGGGUCUAUCUGUGGGGAUGAUAGGGUCACCCUUAUUAUUCAUACGUUCCCUGGGCCUGAGAACUUACCUGGAAUACACUUUGUUAAAUAGUAAUA
rnacentral:lncRNA from 1 species